rnacentral:rRNA from 1 species
CACGUAGGGCGCAAGCGUUGCCCGGAAUUAUUGGGCGUAAAGAGCUUGUAGGCGGCUUGUCGCGUCUGCUGUGAAAUUUCGGGGCUCAACCCCGAACUUGCAGUGGGUACGGGCAGACUAGAGUGUGGUAGGGGAGACUGGAAUUCCUGGUGUAGCGGUGAAAUGCGCAGAUAUCAGGAGGAACACCGAUGGCGAAGGCAGGUCUCUGGGCCAUAACUGACGCUGAGAAGCGAAAGCAUGGGGAGCGAACAGG